rfam:Solenopsis invicta Si_gnG.contig06609, whole genome shotgun sequence.
UAAUCUGCCCUUUUCAGGGCAACCAAAUAUUUCAUACGUGAAACAU